ACCAAAUUCAUUCAUGAUUUUAGCAACUAUUUCUCUUUCCUGACCUCCCUAUAUUUUCUGUCCUUUUUACCAUAGCGGAUACAUCUUCACUUCUAAUUUUAAACUUUGGCUAUAAGUUACUGUUAUAAUAAUAGCUAACAACUCUUGUGUAUUUCCUACAUCAAAGACACAGUGGUGAACCAUUCUGGUGGAUUCUUUUAUUCAAUCCUGGAAGUAAAGUGCCCUGGGAUAUAAACUCCAAGAGGGCAGGACUCUUAUCUGAAUUCCUUUUGCCUGGGGGCAGGGGUAGUAAGUACUCUGUAAAUUUUUGCUGAAGGAAUGAACAAAUGGAUGAAAGAGUGAAAGAGCAGCCUAUGAAGUGGGUCCUAUGAUUAGUCCCAUUUUGCGACAUGAAAAGUGGCCAGUCAAUGGUGAGAACAAGACACGGAGCCGGGCAGUCUGUCCCCACAGACCGUGCUUCUGAUGCGUACAGGUAUCACCUUCACACAAGAGCCAGAAUAGGACAGACUCAUAUACCAUUCUGAUCUGGGUGCAUUUCUUCAGAAGGUACGCUGUGCUCAUGGGGAACUGCGGCUGCCCGGGCAUGGGGCUGACAAGGCCGGGAGGAAAGUCUGUGUGUGCAUUUUAACAAGAAGGUUUCCCAGGGAAGUGAGGGAAGUAAAAUGAUGGGCACCAAAGGCUUUGAGGCCGCUCCGCCCUCUCCUGAUAUUCAUUCCUCUCGUGUCCCAGCAGAAUUUCUGCUGGGAUUCUUCAGAGAUACCCUUGGUUUAAGUUGAUUGAUGUAAAGGAGGCCAGUGGGGAAAUCAGAGGAAGUUGGGGGGUAGGGGGAGGCCAGAGUGAUGGUUCUGGGAAUUCUUGACCCUGCCUUAUUUCUCAGUAGGAUAUUGUGCUGGGUAGGGGUGAGGCCGGGGCGGGGGG
rnacentral:lncRNA from 1 species